CAGGAUGCGCAUAUGAAGAGCCGCCGAUCAGUUCCCCUUCACAAUAUUAGCCUACUGUAGUGCUACAGAUCUAAAUAAUCCGUGUCGACUGCACGCGCUAUUUGUGAAGCACACAAUUAAAAUAAAGCGGAGCGCGCGACGAGAUGCGCGUUAAACAGCACGCUUAAUUUCCAUCCAUCUGUAUCUCCAUCCGCACUAUUGCGCAGAUCAGAGCCGUGUGUUGUAACUGAUUAACACGCUCGGUGUUUUUACACGGAUACGCAGCAGAAACCCUGAAGGAUCAGCUGACACAUCAACGCGAUGUUACAGACGCAGGUGUGCGGGCGUUGGCGUUCGCACGACGCGAACAACAGAACACAAUGAUGUUGAGAUGUUUGAUUUAUUUUAACUAUGUAGUCUUUUUUAGCUUACACGCUGUUUUAAAACGCAAUGCAACGGCCAAAGACGCCCGGAUGAUGCUUUUGUUUACACCAGCACUUAAACGACAGCAAUAUUGUUUUAACUCCAGCGUUUUCAACAUACUUACAGAUCUAGUGUCAUGGUUUUACGCUCUAGUACUGUGGCUUUCCUUCUAUACGAAACAUCAGGUAUUUUAAAGUCAUGUGCAUGAAGACAGAAGAAAGAACAAGCACACAGGUCUCUGAUGCCCAUGUCAUGUGGAUGAAACAGUCGGCACAUCAUGAAAACCAUGCAGAACAGUGAAAGGCACAAUCACCAUAGAUAUCAUAUACCGAUCAUUUUUAAUACUCUAUUUGUACUUUGUUACUAAGGUGAACAUCUCUUCUAAUAACAACAUGAGGAAAAAAUACAAGCAUAUUUAUUUGUGUUGUCUUUUCUCAUUUCAUGUUUUCAGUCAAGCCUCCCUUAAAUCACAAAUAACUAUCUCUUCCACCAGCCUCUCGUGAGGCCUAACGGACAUCAUUCUAGUCCCACAAAUGAAAUGAAUCAUAUUGAACACACACACACAAAUAACACAGAGUAUACAGUAACCAGGUGUUACCCUGAACAGCAGUGGCGGAUCUGUUCAGAGGGCAGAGAUCACUGAUUUAAUGCUCAUGCCUUGUCCACUUCAUCUAACAUGUAGAAACAAUGCAAAUAGAAGACGACCUUCAAGUGGACGAUGUUAAGGACCCUUGUAAGGCUGCAGGGCAUUGGAUUUUCCUAGAUACACCACUGACAUUCGUACUGCACUCUCUGUGGAGUCAAUAUAAUGUAGAAACAGUCAGUUUCAAAUGAAAACAAAGAAAUAAAAGCAUAUUUAGAUUUACAUUAUACUUACAUUAUUUUGUUAAUAGAUAGCCUACUAUAUUAAUAGAUUUUGGCAGGUGAUAGAAAAGUCUACAAGAAGAACUCUUAAAAUGAUUCAACAUUAAACUGAGAGAAGAAAUAAAAGAAAAUUGCAUGUAAAAUCAAAUCCCCUCAAUGCAAAACAGCUCAAUGGUGGUAUUGACAACAUGGCAAAUGUUGGUUCCUAUCAUAAAAUACCCAGUAGAAUGAAGUGUACUCAAGUUUUUGGAACAACAUAUGGUUAAACGAUACCAUGAAAACAGGAAGGUGAUGUUUCAAAAUGAAAAUAACGCAAACACUGUAAAUAGUUUGCAAUUAUAUACACGUGAAUGCAACUAAUUGUUUACCUCUUAAGGUAGCUUUUUUCCCCAACUCAUGCAUGUUGGCAUCUCAUUCACCAUUGCAAACGAAAACAGCAUACUGCUAAACACCAUGAUCCUCCAUAAAAACGUAAGACAGUGCAAACUUCUCAAAGUCUCAAAAAUGUACAAACAGUCAUAUAAUUGUAUACUUUCAGCACCAUAGUUAGUCUAUUCAUUACUGAAUACACAUAAGAAAGAUGGUGGACGCAUUUCCUGUAAAAGUGCCGAGAGUAUUCGCUCACUAUCAAGAAAGAGCACAUUUUAGGAUUCGACGUAUGCGUUAGUGUGAGUGCAUGUGUGCUGGGUCCGUCACAAGAGAGACGAUGACCCAGCAACCUCUGAUCGACAGACAUCAGAAUACAA